ensembl:snRNA U6 U6 spliceosomal RNA
CUGCUUGCUUGGGCACAUAUACUAUAAUUGAACGAUACAGAGAUUAGCAUGGCUGCUGUGCAAGAAUGACACAAAUUAAAUUGUUUAAAAAAGUAAACAUUU